GUAGGUGGCGAGCGUUAUCCGGAUUUACUGGGUGUAAAGGGUGUGUAGGCGGGACUGCAAGUCGGAUGUGAAAAUCACAGGCUUAACCUGUGACCUGCAUUCGAAACUGUGGUUCUUGAUGGUCGGAGAGGUAACUGGAAUUCCUGGUGUAGCGGUGAAAUGCGUAGAUAUCAGGAGGAACACCGGUGGCGAAGGCGGGUUACUGGACGAUUACUGACGCUGAGACACGAAAGCGUGGGGAGCAAACAGGAUUAGAUACCCUGGUAGUCCACGCUGUAAACGAUGAAUGCUAGGUGUGGGGGUGCAAACUUCCGUGCCGCAGUUAACACAAUAAGCAUUCCACCUGGGGAGU
rnacentral:rRNA from 1 species